rnacentral:lncRNA from 1 species
CUCGGUCUUUGUUCAUAGUCUAUGAAAUAGCGAUAUGGCUAUUUCAUAGACGUAGUUAGGUAAAAUUUUAUGUUAUUUUGUAAAGUAAUAAAGAACAGAAAAUCUAUGUGAUUCGAUGAAGAAUGAGAACAAAUCAUGAGAUAUUUUCUAGAAAAUAAAAUGGGAAAUUCAAAAUGCAUGGCAUUGGGAAUGAAGGAAGUGUGUCUAGUUGUAUAUAUUAUUCUGGUGUGUAACAUACAAAUGUGCCUAGUUGUCUUCUUUUUGCAUGUAAGUGGCUAGGGAGCUUUUUAUAGUGUUCUUUUGGU